rnacentral:lncRNA from 1 species
GACAUUCAUGGAAAAGACUCUGACACUUACUCUGGAUUACAGUUUUCUGAUAAACUUUCAGAUCACAGAACUGGACUGGGACAUUGGUUGUAUUACCAAGGCUUUGACUGGAAUGUCAUAUUUGAGAGAAACGUACAGACUCGGAUAUGACAAUACUGCCUUUGAGGAAUAAGGUUGACUUUCUGGAAAUAAAGCCACUUGGAAACAUGGGCCUGGUACCUUGUGUAUAGAGAUUAUGGCAAUCUUACCCGAAAUACUUCUUAAACACCUGAUUGCUUGCUUCCAAAAUAAAGGCCUAACUUUGGGAGCCCACCUGCGUUGCCACCUUCUAAAAUGAAUUUAACUGGACUGAUCUAUUACCAGGACUAAGAAAUGUGUUCAGUGAGAUGAAACAAUCUACCACUCAGCUUCUGGAUUGUGAAACUUUUAGUUUCAAAGGCGGGACUGCAGGGACCUGAAAUUGGCCACCCCAAGAUAUGUCUCUUUGGCAUCAGGAUUAUUUGAGGCUGAUUGCUUUUGAUAAAGUGGGACAGGGAAGGAGGCUCUGAGGAGUGGAACUUGCCCUUUGUUAGGACACAUUUACAUCUGUAAGGUAAAUCUCUAUCUGUAAAGGUGCCUCCCUCUCUGUAGGCAAGGAACUGAUUGCUGCGCUCAUCUGUGAUCCCCCAGCCCGAGGCAACACACCUGCCACCCCGCAGCGUUCACUGAGACAGCAGACCUAUCUGCCUCCAUCAAGGGCUGUGCUGACAGAGCAGGCUCGUGACUGUUGUAAAAGGGACAUUUCAAUCAUACGUGAAACACCCUGUUUGGGGGAUAUAGAACCACUCUGUGCACCCCACUUCUUCGGUGCCCUUUCUUCCUUCGGGAAGAAAGGCCCCGGGCCAUGGCUCCUCAUAAAGCUUUGUUUAAUUUUCUCUUGCUAUUCUGUCUCAGGUGAAUUUAAUUCGUUCUCCGGCCAGACGAACCCACAUUUGGGAAGAGGAAAUGUCUUCCUCCCCUACAUUAACUAGCCUCACCGUGCUGUACACUAGAUCCUCAGAACUUAUUCAUCUGAAAACUGAAAGUUUGUACCCUUUAAACAUCUCCC